AGCUCCUAUCAUGUGCCUGAAGGAGGCAGGUUCUGAGGAUCUGUGUCUGGAUGGCUUCUACUCCAGCAGUCUUCAGGAGAGCCCAUCACCUUACAUCCCUGGUGGGAUAUGGUACCUGGCUGAACUAUUGCACUAUAAUGAAUUACUGGGAUCUUGAGUUGGGGAGAGAAGAGGAAGAAGCUUAUAUGAAUGUGGCCGGCCCCAUUGAUCUCCAGAAAGGAAACAGUACAGAAUAAGAGAGUAUGAAGAUGGGGUUACAACAAAACUGACUGGGAACAGAAGACCUGCAUCCAAAAUAUCAGAUAAAUUCUUGCCUACAGGACCAUGGGUAGUCACUUCCUCUUUGCCGACCUCAGCCCUGACACAGAAAAAGAUUAUAUGUCCCAGUGGAUAGGAACACGGGCUUUGUGGAGUGUGAUGUAAGCUUGGGCAUGUUUCACUGCUGGUUUCGUGAUCUUCAUAAAGCAAAUUAUGAGUCUUCAUAUAUCGGAAACCCACAUGUGAUGUAUAUACAUUAUAUAUGCAUGCAUAGAGAAUAUAAUGGGAGAAAAUGAACAAA